rnacentral:rRNA from 1 species
UGGGAGGGGACUGCGGACUAUUAGCUUGUUGGUGGGGUAACGGCCUACCAAGGCGAUGAUGGUUAGCGGGUCUGAGAGGAUGAUCCGUCACACUGGGACUGAGACACUGCCCAGACUCCUACGGGAGGCUGCAGUCGAGAAUCUUCCGCAAUGGGCGAAAGCCUGACGGAGCAACACCGCGUGCAGGAUGAAGGCCCUCGGGUCGUAAACUGCUGUCACGCCAUAGGAAAUCCGUAGCGUCAAUAGCGCUGCGGUUGACCAAAGCGAAAGGAAGCACCGGCUAACUCCGUGCCAGCAGCCGCGGUAAUACGGAGGGUGCAAACGUUGUUCGGAAUUACUGGGCAUAAAGAGCAUGUAGGCGGCUCGCUAAGUCAGAUGUGAAAUCCCCCGGCUCAACCGGGGAACUGCAUUUGAAACUGGCGAGCUCGAGGAUGGUUGGGGUGAGUGGAACUUCAGGUGGAGCGGUGAAAUGCGUAGAUAUCUGAAGGAACACCGGUGGCGAAAGCGGCUCACUGGACCAAUCCUGACGCUGAGAUGCGAAAGCUAGGGUAGCGAACGGGAUUAGAUACCCCGGUAGUCCUAGCCGUAAACGAUGGGCACUAGGUAGGGGGAGCGCCUAUGCUUUCCCUGCCGUAGCAAAUGUGUUAAGUGCCCCGCCUGGGGAGUACGCUCGCAAGGGUAAAACUCAAAGGAAUUGACGGGGGCUCACACAAGCGGUGGAGCAUGUGGUUUAAUUCGAAGCAACGCGAAGAACCUUACCUGGCCUUGACAUGCACGGAUUAGCCCUGUGAAAGCAGGGUGACACCUCUUCGGAGAUGGAACGUGUGCAGGUGUUGCAUGGCUGUCGUCAGCUCGUGUCGUGAGAUGUUGGGUUAAGUCCCGUAACGAGCGCAACCCUUAUCGUUAGUUGCCAACGCGUAAUGGCGGGGACUCUAGCGAGACUGCCGUUGUCAAAACGGAGGAAGGUGGGGACGACGUCAAGUCAUCAUGGCCCCUAUGGCCAGGGCGACACACGUGCUACAAUGGUCUAUACAAAGGGUUCCAAGACCGCGAGGUGGGGGCAAUCCCAGAAAGUAGGCC